AUGAACGCUGGCGGCGUGCCUAAUACCUGCAAGUCGAGCGAACGGACGAGAAUCUUGCUUCUCUGAUGUUAGCGGCGGACGGGUGAGUAACACGUGGAUAACCUACCUAUAAGACUGGGAUAACUUCGGGAAACCGGAGCUAAUACCGGAUAAUAUUUUGAACCGCAUGGUUCAAAAGUGAAAGUCGGUCUUGCUGUCACUUAUAGAUGGAUCCGCGCUGCAUUAGCUAGUUGGUAAGGUAACGGCUUACCAAGGCAACGAUGCAUAGCCGACCUGAGAGGGUGAUCGGCCACACUGGAACUGAGACACGGUCCAGACUCCUACGGGAGGCAGCAGUAGGGAAUCUUCCGCAAUGGGCGAAAGCCUGACGGAGCAACGCCGCGUGAGUGAUGAAGGUCUUCGGAUCGUAAAACUCUGUUAUUAGGGAAGAACAUAUGUGUAAGUAACUGUGCACAUCUUGACGGUACCUAAUCAGAAAGCCACGGCUAACUACGUG
rnacentral:rRNA from 1 species